UUGAGGUGGUGAGAGGAUCGGAAUGACAAGUGGAGAGGAGAGUGUCGUCAACCACCACACCAGAUGGAGCCGAGACCAGAAGACCAGCAACAACCAGACAAGAGAUAGGAGAGAGAGCUGGUCCACCGAAGAAAGGGAGGGAGGCCUGGCCUUCAGUCUUCCAACGCCCAUCAGAGGGAAAGAUUUGUCAUCCAUCGGAGCUCAGCAACACCCCGCGAAAACUCUGACAACAACAGAGACAAGAGAGGUAGAGGCCUCAACCGGAUGGGAGGGGGACCCUACAUAACACCGACAGCAAACAGCCGAAG
rnacentral:lncRNA from 1 species